UACGUAGGGUGCAAGCGUUAAUCGGAAUUACUGGGCGUAAAGCGCGUGUAGGCGGCUGCGCAAGUCGGGCGUGAAAUCCCGUGGCUCAACCACGGAAGUGCACCCGAAACUGCGCAGCUGGAGUCUCGGAGAGGAAGGUGGAAUGCUUGGUGUAGAGGUGAAAUUCGUAGAUAUCAAGCGGAACACCAGUGGCGAAGGCGACCUUCUGGACGAUGACUGACGCUGAGACGCGAAAGCGUGGGGAGCAAACAGG
rnacentral:rRNA from 1 species